rnacentral:rRNA from 1 species
AGUGAACGCUGGCGGUAGGCCUAACACAUGCAAGUCGAACGGCAGCACAGUAAGAGCUUGCUCUUACGGGUGGCGAGUGGCGGACGGGUGAGGAAUACAUCGGAAUCUACUUUUUCGUGGGGGAUAACGUAGGGAAACUUACGCUAAUACCGCAUACGACCUACGGGUGAAAGCAGGGGAUCUUCGGACCUUGCGCGAUUGAAUGAGCCGAUGUCGGAUUAGCUAGUUGGCGGGGUAAAGGCCCACCAAGGCGACGAUCCGUAGCUGGUCUGAGAGGUUGAUCAGCCACACUGGAACUGAGACACGGUCCAGACUCCUACGGGAGGCAGCAGUGGGGAAUAUUGGACAAUGGGCGCAAGCCUGAUCCAGCCAUACCGCGUGGGUGAAGAAGGCCUUCGGGUUGUAAAGCCCUUUUGUUGGGAAAGAAAAGCAGCAGGUUAAUACCCCGCUGUUCGGACGGUACCCAAAGAAUAAGCACCGGCUAACUUCGU